GACGAACGCUGGCGGCGUGCUUAACACAUGCAAGUCGAACGGAAAGGCCCUGCUUUUGUGGGUGCUCGAGUGGCGAACGGGUGAGUAACACGUGAGUAACCUGCCCUUGACUUUGGGAUAACUUCAGGAAACUGGGGCUAAUACCGGAUAGGAGCUCCUGCUGCAUGGUGGGGGUUGGAAAGUUUCGGCGGUUGGGGAUGGACUCGCGGCUUAUCAGCUUGUUGGUGGGGUAGUGGCUUACCAAGGCUUUGACGGGUAGCCGGCCUGAGAGGGUGACCGGCCACAUUGGGACUGAGAUACGGCCCAGACUCCUACGGGAGGCAGCAGUGGGGAAUAUUGCACAAUGGGCGGAAGCCUGAUGCAGCAACGCCGCGUGCGGGAUGACGGCCUUCGGAUUGUAAACCGCUUUCGCCUGUGACGAAGCGUGAGUGACGGUAAUGGGUAAAGAAGCACCGGCUAACUACGUG
rnacentral:rRNA from 1 species